rnacentral:rRNA from 1 species
AAAAUUUUAAAGGUCGAACAGACCUAAUAUUUUUAGCUUCUUCACCAAAAAUUAAUUUUAAUCCAACAUCGAGGUCGCAAACUUUAUUAUCGAUUUGAACUCUCCAAUAAAAUAACGCUGUUAUCCCUAAGGUAAUUUAAUCUUUUAAUCAUAAAUAAUGGAUCAAAAAAUCAUAUAUUAAUGUUAUAAUAAAAAAAAGUUUAUUAAAUUUUUUAAUCACCCCAAUCAAAUAAAAUUUAAAAUUAAAUUUAAUAUUUCUAAAAAUUUUAAUUAUAUCUAUUUUAUAAAACUCUAUAGGGUCUUCUCGUCUUUUAAAAAAAUUUAAGCUUUUUUACUUAAAGAUAAAAUUAAAUAUCAAUUAAUUUGAAACAGUAAUUUUUUCAUCCAACCAUUCAUUCCAGCUUCUAAUUAAGAAACUAAUGAUUAUGCUACCUUAGCACGGUCAAAAUACCGCGGCCCUUUAACUCCUCAGCGAGCAGGCUAGACCUUAAAUUUUUAACAAAAGGCC